rnacentral:lncRNA from 1 species
UGAUGAUCAUCUCUGACAGUCAACAUGUACAAAACUCUCAUCAUCUACACAUUCUUUUGGCUCACAGGUAGUAAUCUAGGAAAUUAACAUUUUUUUUUAGAUUCAUAAUAUGGUAUGAUGUAUAUUCAUCCUUUAUGUUUGCCUCUGCUAGUGAAUGUCUUCUCUCCGUCUCUCCUCAGGUCUCUGUCUCAGUGUUGAGGUUCACCAGACUCCCUCUGCAGUCUACAGCAGACCUGGAGAGAAUGUUCAACUCUUCUGCCAACAUCAGAAAACAGACUACACACUAAUGCUGUGGUACCAGAAACCACAAGGAGAAACAGCAUUGAAACUCAUUGGAUAUUUGAAUUUUAAUUCUCAAACCAUUGAGAGUUCAUAUGAAAAGCAUUUUAAUAUGAGUGGGGAUUUGGGUGGAGGUGGCCCAAAGAAUGCCUCUCUGAACAUGUUCAACUUGAAACGACCCCAACACAGUGCAGUGUAUUUCUGUGCUGCUAGUUCUCCAGAUAUAACAAACUGACCCUAGCCCCCCGACACAUAAACUACUGCAGCAUAAAUACUGGAGGCUGAGACAGGAGGGGUCAGGAGACACUGUGGCCCCAUCCGAGGACACCCCCGGACAGCGCCAAACAGGAAGGAUAUAACCCCACUCACUUUGCCAAAGCACAGCCCCCACACCACUAGAGGGAUAUCUUCAACCACCAACUUACCAUCCUGAGACAAGGCUGAGUAUAGCCCACAAAGACCUCCGCCACGGCAGAACCCAAGGGGGGGGGGGGGGGCGCCAACCCAGACAGGAUGACCACAUCAGUGAAUCAACACACUCAGGUGACGCACCCCCUCCAGGGACGGCAUGAGGGAGCCCCAGUAAGCCAGUGACUCAGCCCCUGUAAUAGGGUUAGAGGCAGAGAAUCCCAGUGGAAAGAGGGGAACCGGCCAGGCAGAGACAGCAAGGGCGGUUCGUUGCUCCAGAGCCUUUCCGUUCACCCUCCCACUCCUGGGCCAGACUACACUCAAUCAUAUGACCCACUGAAGAGAUGAGUCUUCAGUAGAGACUUAAAGGUUGAGACCGAGUUUGCGUCUCUGACAUGGGUAGGCAGACCGUUCCAUAAAAAUGGAGCUCUAUAGGAGAAAGCCCUGCCUCCAGCUGUUUGCUUAGAAAUUCUAGGGACAAUUAGGAGGCCUGCGUCUUGUGACCGUGUAGGUACGUGUAGGUAUGUACGGCAGGACCAAAUCAGAGAGAUGGGUAGGAGCAAGCCCAUGUAAUGCUUUGUAGGUUAGCAGUAAAACCUUGAAAUCAGCCCUUGCUUUGACAGGAAGCCAGUGUAGAGGCUAGCACUGGAGUAAUAUGAUCAAAUUUUUUGGUUCUAGUCAGGAUUCUAGCAGCCGUAUUUAGCACUAACUGAAGUUUAUUUAGUGCUUUAUCCGGGUAGCCGGAAAGUAGAGCAUUGCAGUAGUCUAACCUAGAAGUGACAAAAGCAUGGAUUAAUUUUUCUGCAUAAUUUUUCGACAGAAAGUUUCUGAUUUUUGCAAUGUUACGUAGAUGGAAAAAAGCUGUCCUUGAAAUGGUCUUGAUAUGUUCUUCAAAAGAGAGAUCAGGGUCCAGAGUAACGCCGAGGUCCUUCACAGUUUUAUUUGAGACGACUGUACAACCAUUAAGAUUAAUUGUCAGAUUCAACAGAAGAUCUCUUUGUUUCUUGGGACCUAGAACAAGCAUCUCUGUUUUGUCCGAGUUUAAAAGUAGAAAGUUUGCAGCCAUCCACUCCUCUCUUCACUGCCCCCACCUUUCCCAAACAAUCUGGAAACCCGAGCAAAAAGUGGCAUCUUGUAAGAGCUUUACAUUAAACUUCCAAUAGGAUGCCUGCCGGGGCCCUGGUGAAAUAGACAGCCGGGCCAUGGAUGUGUGGUGAUCUGAAAAACCCACAGGGAGAAUGGUAGCACCCAACAGCCUACUGCUAUGAUUCCUGUAAAAACAAUCAAGUCGGAUUGCACUCACCAUAGCCCCAAAGACCUUCACCCAUGUACUCUGUCUUGUGUUGGGAUGUCUAGUUCUCCAAACAUCCACUAGGUCGAACUGAUUAAUGAUGUCCCUUAACACCCCCACUGAAGCUCCUCUCCAUUUCUUUCUUUCGUAAAAUCCAUUGUACAGUUCCAGUCCCCGCCGACCAACAGCAUCUCCUCAGGUGCUACCUGUGAGAGUUCCUGUCUACGACACCCAAAUAGAAGCCCCCUCUCUUUCCCUGUGUUAGGCGCAUUCACAUUUAUAAGGACAAAACCGCUGUUGUUCAUUUCUGCUUUUACUACAAGCAGUCUAUCCCUACACAUCUCCUUUGAGGAGCAUAUUUUUGGUUUGUGGGUGUUUGUUUCCGUGUGAGUGUUUGUUGCCACACGGUACUGUUUCGGUUUUCGUUCACGUUCACAUUUAUUGUUUUGUAUUUCAUAGUGUUCAGUUCAUGUCUUUAAAUAAACGUUAUGGACACUUACCACGCUGUGCAUUGGUCCUCAGAUCCUUCUCGCUUCUCCUCCUCUUCUGAGGAGGAGGAAUGCCGUUACAGAAACACCCACCACCAGAGGACCAAGCAGCGUGGUAACAGGCAGCAGCAGCAGAAGAGGCAGCGAUAGGAGACUCCGGACGGUAAAGGACCCUGGGAACAGCGAGGGGAAUAUCGCCGCCCCAAAGCAGAGCUGGAGGCAGC